GCAGGAACCCGAGGUCCAGCACGGGCCGGGUCGCGUGAGGGGGCGCUGUCUGCACUUCCGGCAGGUGGCGGGAGAAAAGACCAGCUCGAAUUCUGCCUGUUGUAGGUGUUGGAACCCAGAGAGGUCGCCAUCUUGAGAGCGUCUGGAGGCACCGGUGGCUUCCGAGUUGGGAAAGAGGACCGCCACAAUCCCGUCAGACCCCGAGGCUGGCUCCCGGCCCGUUGACGUCUUAUUUAUGCGUCGUGGGCGCCCUUGGGGGCGGUCCUUGUGCGUCGUGACGUCACCUGGAAUUUCUUCGCUUGACAAUUGGGAGUGCUAGUGGGUUGAAACCUGGUUCUCUCUUCGAGUUGGUCCCUGUUUGGGAAGAAAAGCCACAAGUACAGUUGAUUUAUUUUAAAAUGGAGCAAAAAAAUAAAGGAACAAGUAAGGAAUGAGGGACUGGGAUUAAAACAGCGUUUGCCCCCAUGGAGCGCUUAUUAUGCCUAAUGGUGAGCGAACGUCUUGCUGUGCCAGUAUCUUAAUUCUCACAAUUUCUCUGUAAGGUUGCCAGCUUUAGCAAACAAAAACGCAGAACGUCUAGUUAAAGUUGAAGUUCAGAUAAACAACAAACCAUAUUUUAGUAUAAAUAUGUCCCAAACAUAUUUAUACUAAAAAGUGACUCGUUUAUCUGAAAGUCGAAUUUGGCUGGAUGUCCUAUAUUUUAUCUGGUAACCACUACCCUCUAGGCAAGUAUGAUUUUCCCUUUUUUUUAAUAGAAAAGGAAACAAGUUUAGAGAAAUUAAGUAACUUCUUGUCGUGUAGCUAAAAAUGAAGUCACAAAUCCAUAUUGUUACAUGUAUCAGUAAUUUGUUCCUUUCUAUUACUGAGAAUUCUAAUGUACCAGGGGGAUUUAAAAAAUCCAUAUUCCCAGUUGAUAGACAUUUGAGUUGUUCCAGAUUUCGUGACUAUAAAUAAAGCCAUUAUAACAUUCACAUA